rnacentral:tRNA from 1 species
UGACUGAUGGUGUAAUGGUAACACAACUGUUUUUGGUGCAGUUUUUCAAGGUUCGAAUCCUUGUCGGUCAA